GCGAAUUAGGGCAGAGGACUAGGGCCAGUUUGGGUCGCUAGUGUAGGGAAUUACUUGGUGGGGGUUUUAUUCCUGUUAUGAUUUCGUGUUCCGUGUUCCAUGUUUUAUUACGAAUCUGUGUGUUUUCAUCUGCUUUAUAUUACUCAUGGGUGCCGUAUUUAUGUUAUGUAAUCUGCUUCUGUGCUUUACUAUGUGUUUGUGUGGUAUCUCGUGCCUUGAGUCGGGGGUCUAUCGGAAACAGCCUUUCUACUUCUUUAGAGAUAGAGGUAUGGACUGCGUACAUCUUACCCCCCCAGACCCCACUAGGUGGGAAUACACUGGGUUUGUUGUUGUUGUUGUUGUUGUAGUAAGGAACGUACUCUAACAAAUACAAAGAAUUUUUCAAAACUAUUCAAUAUCCAUCAUGGCUUGUCCCAUUUCUCCGAAUUUUCUUCCAUCCUAGUAUUAUUUGUGAUGUGAUUGCAUACCUCCUCUGUGAAAAUCUGUUGAAGCAUCUACGCAUUCCAUCUUCAUUGUAAAAAUAAUUGGCUCACAUCCUCUAUUUAAUAAUUAUACAUUGUUAAAAGAAAUAUAAUAGUGUAAUGCACCCAGUUGUGUCCAAUUGCCUAAUCAAAUACUAGAAUUAUCUAUUUUAGGCUCCCACUAAAUUUUUGAUCAAUUUAUCUCUAGCUUCAACCAUAUGCUUUUAGAUUUGGGACUCUCUCUCCAUUCAAACAUUUGAGUUUUAAAACUCUCAUUCUCCUCUCCACUCUCAAGAGAAAGAAGUAAGGGUUUCUCCCAAGGCUCAUACUUCCAAGAUUAGAUUUAAGCUGUUUCGAAUCCUUGUUCAUUAAAAAGGUAUGUGGGACUAUCCUAAUUCUCACGAGCAUAAGUUUCAUGUUUUCUACAAGAUUUAAAGUAUAUAUGUAUGUACGUAUUAUGGGUUUUGAGAUUUGUUUGGAGAGCAUGCACUAUGAACCCCAUUUUAUGAUGAAAUCUUGUAAUUACUAGGGGUCUCUAUAAAACUUGAGUUAUAAUCAUGUGAAAAUGAGUAUCGAGUUUUGAAAAGUAAUUUAUGAGCAUGAUUUAUGAAAUUUCCUCUCUCAUUUUCCUUAACACAUUAUGGGGUGUUCAAAUGCAACAUUAAACGCUUGAAUGCAAAUGCUUUACUAUUAUUUAUGGAUUUACAUUAUUUUAUGAUCCAAUAAGAGGGUGUUUUCUUGUUUGAUUUAUAUAAAUGCUCAUUGUGUUAAAUGGUUGAUGAUGAAUUGCAUGUGAUUGAUAGAAAAUAUGAUCACCUUAUGAUUUGAAUCUUGAAGGGAGGGUGUUUGGCGUAAGUUUUUAUAUGCUUUUGAAAUAAGAACUCUCAUGUUUUAUGUCAAUUUUUUUGGGUGGUGUAAUACCCCGUACUUUUUCUAGCUUGAAAAGUUUCUCAAGAGUGUUAGAAACUUUCUUUGAAAGAUGAAUCCACUUUUUUACACGUGGUAUUUUCAAGAUUUUUACUUUUUAUCAUGUGGGGAAUCAAAUAAGCUUUCCAUUGAUACCAAAUUCACCCAAAUUCGACACCCGGGUGAAGAGUUGAGCCUUUUUAGUGAGACAGUGUAUCACCUGAGCCUUCAGCGCUUCACGGAGAUAGCUCAAAUGGCAAUGGUCAAUUUCCAGUGUUGCUCUACGAUAGUGGCGCGUCGCGCUAAACUUUUAGGUCACAGACAAGGUGGCAACGCGAUAGCUCCGUGUCACGCCAUCGUGCAAUUUUCCAUUUGUCACUUUCCAGUGACUUGGCGCGAUAGUGACACGUUGUGCCAA